UGGCAUGGCGCGGCUACCAUGCAGUCGAGCGGAACGAGUUAUCUGAACCUUCGGGGAACGAUAACGGCGUCGAGCGGCGGACGGGUGAGUAAUGCCUAGGAAAUUGCCCUGAUGUGGGGGAUAACCAUUGGAAACGAUGGCUAAUACCGCAUGAUGCCUACGGGCCAAAGAGGGGGACCAUUCGGGGGCCUUCCCGCGUCCAGGAAAUAGCCCUAGGGUGGGAAUUAGCCUAGUUGGGUGAGGUAAAGGGCUUCAACAAAGGCGGACGAUUCCCCUAGCUGGUCUGGAGAGGGAUGAUCCAGCCACCACUGGAAACUGAGACACCGGUCCCAGACUCCCUACGGGGAGGCAGCCAGUGGGGGAAUUAUUGCACAAUGGGGCGCAAACCCUGAAUGCAGCCCAUGCCCGCGUGUGUGAAGAAGGCCUUCCGGGUUGUAAAAGCACUUUUCAGUUCGUGAGGAAGGUGGGUAGUGUUAAUAGCACUAUUCAUUUGACGUUAGCGACAGAAGAAGCACCCGGCUAACUCCGUGCCAGCAGCCGCGGUAAUACGGAGGGUGCGAGCGUUAAUCGGAAUUACUGGGCGUAAAGCGCAUGCAGGUGGUUUGUUAAGUCAGAUGUGAAAGCCCGGGGCUCAACCUCGGAAUUGCAUUUGAAACUGGCAGACUAGAGUACUGUAGAGGGGGGUAGAAUUUCAGGUGUAGCGGUGAAAUGCGUAGAGAUCUGAAGGAAUACCGGUGGCGAAGGCGGCCCCCUGGACAGAUACUGACACUCAGAUGCGAAAGCGUGGGGAGCAAACAGGAUUAGAUACCCUGGUAGUCCACGCCGUAAACGAUGUCUACUUGGAAGGUUGUGGCCUUGAGCCGUGGCUUUCGGAGCUAACGCGUUAAGUAGACCGCCUGGGGGAGUACGGUCGCAAGAUUAAAACUCAAAUGAAAUUGACGGGGGGCCCGCACAAGCGGUGGAGCAUGGUGGUUAAAUUCGAUGCAACCGCGAAAAACCUUACCUACUCUUGACAUCCAGAAAACUUUUCCAGAAAAUGGAUUGGUUGCCUUUCGGGAAACUCUGAAAACAGGUGCCUGCAUGGCCUGUCCUCCACCUCGGGGUUGUGAAAAUGUUUGGGGUUAAGUCUCCGCCAACCGAAGCGCAAACCCUUUAUUCCUUGUUUUGCCCACCCAAGUAAUGGUCGGGAAACUCCAAGGGAGAACUGGCCGGGUGAAUAAACCCGGAAGGGAAGGGGUGGGGAACCGAACGUUCAAGUUUCAUCAAUGGGCCCCUUUAACCAAGAUAAGGGCUUACCACACGUUGGCUUACCAAUGGCGGCCAAUAUCAGAAGGGGCAAGCCAAACUUUGGCGAAAAGGUGAACCCAAUCCCCAAAAAGAUGGGCGUCGUAAAAUCCCCGUAGAUUGGAGUCUGCAACUCGACUCCAUGAAGUCGGAAUCGCUAGUAAUCGUGGAUCAGAAUGCCACGGUGAAUACGUUCCCGGGCCUUGUACACACCGCCCGUCACACCAUGGGAGUGGGCUGCAAAAGAAGUAGGUAGUUUAACCUUCGGGGGACGCUACCACUUUGUGAAUGGUCC
rnacentral:rRNA from 1 species